rnacentral:misc_RNA from 1 species
AUCGGCACUAUAUGGGAACAGCAGCUUCCGCAUCGCGUGCGCGAUCUGGCAGCCUUUAUCGACACCGACGCCUCCAAUCACAGCACGCUUGAAGAUCAACUCGCAUUCGCCACCAAGAUUGCCCCGAAGCUGACCAUUCAGGGCGGAACGACAGAAGUGCUGCGCGGGAUCAUCGCGCGUGGACUUGGGUUGCGCUAAACCAACAAUAAGAGAGAGGUUUCUCAAUGAGCGGCUUUACCGACAU